rnacentral:rRNA from 1 species
CACAAGCGGUGGAGCAUGUGGUUUAAUCGAAGCAACGCGAAGAACCUUACCAGGUCUUGACAUCCUUUUGAAUGGUCUAGAGAUAGAUCAGGCCUUCGGGACAGAAGAGACAGGUGGUGCAUGGUUGUCGUCAGCUCGUGUCGUGAGAUGUUGGGUUAAGUCCCGCAACGAGCGCAACCCUUAUCAUUAGUUGCUAACAUUCAGUUGAGAACUCUAAUGAGACUGCCAGUGAUAAACUGGAGGAAGGUGGGAUGACGUCAAAUCAUCAUGCCCCUUAUGACCUGGGCUACACACGUGCUACAAUGGCCGGUACAAAGAGUUGCGAAACUGUGAAGUUAAGCUAAUCUCAUAAAGCCGGUCUCAGUUCGGAUUGUAGUCUGCAACUCGACUACAUGAAGUCGGAAUCGCUAGUAAUCGCGAAUCAGAAUGUCGCGGUGAAUACGUUCUCGAGUCUU